AGCAGUGGAAAAUCAGCUUCAUCAGAACAUAAUGCCACCUUGGAUUACUGAUGUUUCCCUCGCCAAGGCUGAGCAGCCAGAAGAACCAGCUCUUUCUUGGGCUUUGCACCCUCGAAGAUGGCCAGAUGGAGAUGUCAGGCAUGAUCACUCGAAGCCUUAAUGCAAGGUUCCGUCAGCCUCCUUGUUCAAGACGGUGGACAUAAUCAAGGAUAACACAUGGAACGGGUACAUUUCUGGACGAUAACCAGCAGAAGAAACAAAGCUGGAUGCAUGCACAGACUGAUCUUCCUACCGAGUGAUUCAUGCCUCCUGUGAUUGCAAGACUCAGCCGUAGUAACUACUCUUAGAGCAACAGAUGUCAGCUGGGUUUCAGAACAAGAAUUGUACCCCUGAAGCACUGCCUAGUGGUGUAAGACUUUAAGAUGUUCCAAAGGACCUGCACAUUCUGCUCACCACCGCUCAAGACACACCUCAACCCCCAAGAAAUAGCUCAUCUCCUAAGCCGCACUCCCUCCCUUGAACAGGAAUUGGCUGCCUCCGCAUUCUUUCCCAAAAGAAAAUGGUCACAGACUAACAAGCUAAAGUUCUUGAAACAGGACUGUUGCCAAGGUGAAAUCGAACAACACAAUGCAUCAGAUCCUCAAGUUUCCUGGAAUGUUGUUGAGCUGAGACUUCCUAGCACCAAAGAGAGGAGAAUAAUGGAUAUCCCUGCCAGAUACAGUCCUCCAGUGGGAAUGGAAGGUUGAAAACAAACGAACAAAAAAGAAGGCUUUUCUUUGCAAAAGACUAUUGGAAUAAUAGUUAAUUGGAAUAAUGGUUAAUUUGGAGAAUGGGGGUCCCACCGAAUCAAACCAUGUUCUACCCUCAUCUCCUUUUGUGGAAGUGAACAGUUUCUUUUUUAAUCUUGAAUUUUCUUGUUAAUGCUAAUAAUUGUUAUUAAUUGUUAAUCUGGUCUGUGACCGCAAUAAAUUUGCUGCUACUA